rnacentral:tRNA from 1 species
UGCCUGGAUAGCUCAGCCUGGAUAGAGCGACUGCCUUCUAAGCAGUAGGUCGUAGGUUCAAAUCCUACUCCGGGCGU